UACAGAGGGGGCAAGCGUUGUUCGGAAUUACUGGGCGUAAAGGGCGCGUAGGCGGCCUCUUAAGUCGAACGUGAAAUCCCCGGGCUCAACCCGGGAACUGCGUCCGAUACUGGGAGGCUUGAAUCCGGGAGAGGAAGGUGGAAUUCCCGGUGUAGUGGUGAAAUGCGUAGAGAUCGGGAGGAACACCAGUGGCGAAGGCGGCCUUCUGGGCCUUUCCUGACGCUGAGGCGCGAAAGCGUGGGGAGCGAACCGG
rnacentral:rRNA from 1 species